GAAACAAGGCAGAGUAUUAGAAAAUUGUGUUCAAAGGCACACACAUCUCUGGAGAUGUGGCUUCCUGCAACCUGGACGGUUUAGAAGGUGUGAAAUAGUCCUGAGCUCCAACCUUUAGGCCCUGUGGAGUUGGCCCACUGCCUGCAAAGUACUGUUUAUGCCUUGUGAGGGACUUGUGUACAGCUGAGGAAAUGCACAGCCAAUGGAUCACUGAAUGCAGUGACUGGCCAGCCAAGGAAGGACAAAGUGGCAGGAAUUCAAUCAGGAGCAGAGCAAUUGGCUCUCUUGCUAUAGGGAAGAACAGACACUACCUCUGCCCUGGGAGCCUGGGAGGAAAAUCAGCCAUGAAAGCAGGUCAACUCCCAGUCAGCUCUUUUCUCACUGGUUGGACUGUCUCAGUCAAAAAGAUCUCAAGCAAUCCUACAGACCUCCAUGGCUUACCUUCCAGAGAUGCUG